GCACCUUUAGUUCAGCUGGUUAGAGCAGACGGCUCAUAACCGUCCGAUCGUAGGUUCGAGUCCUAACAGGUGAU
rnacentral:tRNA from 1 species